UGUACGAAGUCCUAUAAAUACGGCCGUGC
rnacentral:sRNA from 1 species